GUGGGCUCGCAGUGAGCAGCUGUCGAGGGAUUAAAAACAGGUAUGCCUAGAAGCAAAUUUUAAAAGCAUUUUCUCUUCAAAUCUUUUUCCAUACCAUCUGAUAAGCAUCUUGAUUCACCAUGGACGUAUCAGCAGUGAAAUGGGCAAUAUCAAACAGAACUGUCUUGAAAUAUUUAUUUCCAAUCCAAAAUGGACCUUUAUAUUGUGUUUGUCAUAAAUCUACAUACUCUUCUCUUCCAGAUGACUAUAAUUGCAAAGUAGAACUUGCUUUGACAUUUGAUGGCACAACAAUAGUUUACUACCAUCCUUCUGUGGAUAUUCCAUAUGAACACACUAAACCUAUCCCUCGGCCAGAUCUUGUGCAUAAUUAUGGAGAAACACAGGAUCAAACACCAAAAACCAGAUUAGAAGAAAAAGAUGAACACUUUGAGCAAGGAUCCAUGAUAGAACAACUUAGCAAAAUGUUCUUUACUACUAAGCACCAUUGGUAUCCUUGUGGACAGUAUCAUACACGUCGUAGGAAACUGAAUCCUCCAAAAGACAGAAAAUGCAAUCAGGACACAAGGGCUUGCAUGCCGGAGAAGCCCCUGCACUCAGGUGCCGGGCGCCCAUGA